AAAUUAUAAAGAGGAUUACUUUAUAUUCCGUCAUCUAUGUCAAUCCUCAAUCAUAUAUUCUGUCUAUAUUAAUCCUUAUUUGUUCAACAGCUCCGGUCUUGGUUCAGAUCUCUGGCAAGUUUAAGGUCGAAUCUCUUUAUUUGUACGUGAAUUGGUAAAUGCAAUUGUGGUUAAUCGAGGUAUAUAAACCCUUGGAAAAAAUCAAAGGGGAGGUGUUUGAGGAAGUGGACAGAUUUGGUUUGUUUACUGCGUAGACGAUUCGAACGUCCCCAAGUUGUGAUUGAACUGUUUCGUGGUAAAACACCAAGGAAAUGUUCGGGAUGAAAUCUGAAGAUGGCCAGGGUGAAGUGGUCUUUUUGGGAGAAUUUAUGGAGAUCACAUUUGCAUAUGCACCUUGGUUUGCAUAGUUUUGGGACAUGUA